rnacentral:misc_RNA from 1 species
GAGUUCAUGCCCUUCGGGGUAGAUCUCCCACCCUUUGUAUACUAUACCUUUGUUGCUUUGGCGGGCCGCCUAGCUACUGGCUUCGGCUGGUAAGUGCCCGCCAGGGGACCACAACUCUUGUUUUUAGUGAUGUCUGAGUACUAUAUAAUAGUUAAAACUUUCAACCACGGAUCUCUUGGUUCU